rnacentral:rRNA from 1 species
AACGACUCUCGACAACGGAUAUCUCGCGUCUCGCAUCGAUGAAGAACGUAGCGAAAUGCGAUACUUGGUGUGAAUUGCAGAAUCCCGUGAACCAUCGAGUCUUUGAACGCAAGUUGCGCCCGAAGCCAUUAGGCCGAGGGCACGUCUGCCUGGGCGUCACG